rnacentral:rRNA from 1 species
CUACGGGAUGCAGCAGUAAGGAAUAUUGGACAAUGGUCGGAAGACUGAUCCAGCCAUGCCGCGUGAAGGAUGAAGGCGCUCAGCGUUGUAAACUUCUUUUGUACAGGAACAAAAUGCGACCUGCGGGUUGUACUGAGGGUACUGUAAGAAUAAGCACCGGCUAACUCCGUGCCAGCAGCCGCGGUAAUACGGAGGGUGCAAGCGUUAUCCGGAAUCACUGGGUUUAAAGGGUGCGUAGGCGGUCUGAUAAGUCAGUUGUGAAAUUCCCUCGCUUAACGAGUGGGACGGCGAUUGAUACGGUUGGACUUGAAUCAGGUUGAGGUAGGCGGAAUGUGGCAUGUAGCGGUGAAAUGCAUAGAUAUGCCAUAGAACACCAAUUGCGAAGGCAGCUUGCUGGGCUUUGAUUGACGCUGAGGCACGAAAGCGUGGGGAGCAAACAGGAUUAGAUACCCUCGUAGUC